rnacentral:rRNA from 1 species
UACGGGGGGGGCAAGCGUUGUUCGGAAUUACUGGGCGUAAAGGGCUCGUAGGCGGCCAACUAAGUCAGACGUGAAAUCCCUCGGCUUAACCGGGGAACUGCGUCUGAUACUGGAUGGCUUGAGUUUGGGAGAGGGAUGCGGAAUUCCAGGUGUAGCGGUGAAAUGCGUAGAUAUCUGGAGGAACACCGGUGGCGAAGGCGGCAUCCUGGACCGACACUGACGCUGAGGAGCGAAAGCCAGGGGGAGCAAACGGG